rnacentral:lncRNA from 1 species
GUGGCAUUCUCUUUACAUUGGCAGUCAUAGUGGUUUCUCAGUAGUAGGCAUACAUGCAGAAUCUUCAUUAAUCUCUCAUCUUUUCCCCCCACUCCUAUUCAUUUAUCAUAUUGUUACAGUAAAACAAUAGGCAAAUGAAUUAUACCCAAUUUUUAGCACACUGAGAAGUUAAAAGUUAAAUACAACUUGUGUGUGUGAUUGCACAAAGCACUUAUUUGACCUUGCUAAGCUUUAAAAGGCAUUCUAAGAUUAGCCUGGCAUGUAUUUCAAGUGUACAAAAAAUACAGAAUUGGGUCUUAAAAUGCUAGUACAGAUGUUUCAUGCCUAAACCCUCAUUAUGUUCAGUGUAUUUAUAGGAGGUAACUCAAAUUUAAAGUGGAUAAAGGCAACUAAAUCCUCCUUUUGUGGAAAAAGUAGUGCACGUAUUCUGACGCUACUCGUCAAGCUACAACCUUCAAUAAAUCACAUUUUGCAUAGGAAUGAACAAAAACUGUGCUUGUGUUUCCAUGCACCAUUUUUUGUCAGAACAAGCUGUACAACACUGCAGCAAUGCCAGUUUACAGUUAAGCAAAUAUUUGGAGCUCGGAGAGGGGAACAAGCAGAAAAAGGUGAAGGGGAGAAAAACGCUCAGCCCUUCCACCCCUUUCAGUUCUGGGAGCCCCAGAAGCACAGGGUAACAACACUUUCAUCCUCCAGCUCAGUUUUGCAUUUCCUUCAUUUGUUAUGUCUCACUUUAAUGCUCUGCCUUCAUUCUCUUAUUCAAACACAGAGGAAAGCCUAUUACAUGAAAGCAAAUAGAUAGACUAAGGGCAGAACAAACUGCCAUACUUCCAGCAAUACAUUAGCAAAACAAAAAAAGGAUGUUUUAUUCUGUGCAUUAUUUCCUGUUGUUGCAGAACACCACACUUUGAGAUCUGAUGUACCAGGCUGUACCAUUAGCCCUACAAGGAAGAAAAUGCUAAGAGUUGCUUGUGUGUAACUAUUUGUGAAAGAGACAGUAUCUUAAGGAGCUGAAAAAUCAUAUUUCUCUUGGUAUAUUUAAGAAGUUUCAGAGUCAGCAAAUUUGAUAUUGUACUUGAGAUAUAAGUAAAUUAUUUCAUUAAUUCUGCUCUACCAUGCUGAGAACUCCAGCACUGUGCUUCAGCCCCAGGUGACAGAGGUAUAUCAUGUCUUAUGUGUCUUUCGAGCUGUGGGAUUUUUGAUAUCAAUGAUCCACUAGAGAAAAAAGAAUAUCCAACAGGAAACCAUAAGGGGCACCAGGCAGGUGCAUGCAUAUCAGAAACCAUAGUUCUUUUCUCAAAUUCUUGCUACUAUUUAAGGAUAUCACUAGCUAAUAUUUUUAUUUCCAUGUAAGAAUUCACUUUUCUUGAAUAAAUCUAUUUCCACCUCUAUAGCCUUUUUGAUU